rnacentral:lncRNA from 1 species
AGUUUAGCACACUUAGAAUUUUGACGCAUAAACUGCGUCACUGCGAAAAGGCUGCACGAAAUGCAUGGGCUCCUGUUUCUUCACAGUGCUGCAAUGACCUUGUAGAAGUAAGCAUCCCUUGCCUCUAUGCUGUUUUCUCCUCCGAUGCUUUCAAGAGAGUUGGUGUUGAUCCCAGAGUCGCAAUCACCAUUCCCCAUCGUUGCCAUUUCUCCAACAAGCCAUAGACCACAACUUACCUACCUAUCAUAAAUGCCAACAUAUUUUUCAGGUAUAUAUAUUGAGCAUAUCUAUCAAGAAUAAUUAUUUAUAUUUCAAAAACUUUAUCUAGAAGCUGAUAAAUUGUUAUAUUACUAUACUGAACUAAUUAAAUUAAACAUGUAUAUACUCAUCACAUUUUUUGGCUGGUAUAAAUUAUACCAUGUGCUCAUUGUUUUCUCUAAUGUAAUGCAGCUUGUAGAUGGCUGAGAACGUUGGCUAUGGUUACGCAACCUGAGGUUUUUACAAAUUCGUCAAAAGCUUCAGGAUACAGUAAUCUGUGUUGUGUAUUGUAUGUUUGUUGUCCGUUAAUAAUUUGAGCUUGUUAUCAAGGCUCACAAAUAAAUUACCUUGUAAUGUACAAUUUUAUUCUCUAUCAAAUAAAUUCACGUUUUCGUAAAAUAUAUCUUUUUGGUUGUUUCGAAUUUAAUUUUAUUUGGAUGGAUUGGUGUAUCUUAGAGAAUAUGAGUGUGUGAGUAAACUAUGGAAAAUCUUAAAAUUUAAUUUGUUUGCAAAUGAAUCUCGACCCUAUGUUUGUGUAAACAUUGGUCCGUUAGAUGUGUGCAUUAGAAGAACUAUUAUCGUAUAUUCUACAACAACUCAAACAUGUAUUACAUUCAUUUUCCACAACAACUCAAACAUAUAUGCACUACAUUGUUGGUUUGCGACUGUGCUGAGGACUUUCUGCAUUGAACUAUUCACCAUAUAGUUUCCUCGGCCUAGCUGCAUAAUCUUGUGCAUAUUAUCAUUCAGUGUAUAGAUAAUUUUUAGUUUUACUAUUAUUUGGUGGACUCUGCAAUGUUACAUGAGGUGCUAACUCUUAUUUCCUUACGGAUAAUGCUUUUAUAAUAGUAAUAUUUAAUACAUUUAUAAUUGUGCAAUGUGAAGAAGUAAUUUUUUCAUUAAUGUUGAGAUUAAUUAUUUAAAUUACUAAAAUGAUCGAGUUACUCAUUAUUCAUCCCGAGGCAUUAGGCAUUUCAUCAGCUCAACCUUGUUUCAAGUUUUUGAUUAAUUUCCUAGAGAUAAACAUAAAGUUUAAGCAGAAAAUGAUAUAUAUAAGAGGAUUCGCUUUUUCUAAGACAAAGCCGAAACUAGUUUUAAUUACGGCAUGGAGAAAAUAUGAAAGAAGAUAACAAAAUAGUCUUCCAUAAGUAGUCUGAAUUUUCACAAGCUAUGGAAGAAAAAAAAUUACUAUUAUAAAAGCAUUAUCCGUAAGGAAAUAAGAGUUAGCACCUCAUUUAAGUCCUCAGUUAAAAUCAGUUUGCAUAGGUUGCAUUUAAAUGAGCUUUAUAUAUUCAACAAUAAACACGCCAGUUGAUGGACACUGGCCCGCAUUUUAGUUUUUUUUCUUUUUCAUAUUAAAAUUUUGACUUUUAAUGAGUUGGUCCAAAUAGUUUUUGUGAAUUGGCUCAAGAAACACCAGCGUAGCAAACCGAUGCUUGUAACGGGGAAGGGUCUUAGUGAUCAAGUAUACAAUUGCCCUUGAGUCUGAGUUACAAAUCAUAGCCAAGGUUCAAAGACAUCUUCAUAUGAUUGAUGCCAAGACACCCACCCACACAUACUUGUAUUGAUUUCCCACCCUUAUAAGUGCAAUAACAGUGGCCUCUAAAUAUCCACCAACUUCCUUCAACUUUCCGGCCGAGGUGAUAUAAGGAUGUUGGGUGGUGAAAGAUAAAAAGGAAGAGAAGGAAAGAUCACAUAAUUUGAUCCCUCCUACUAACAAACUAACAAUCAAUAUUUAUCGAUAAAAAAAAUCUUAAACUUUCCCGUAAUUUAUUAUCUAGAAAAAUCAUGUUAUGCAUACACGGUUAUAGAAUUCUCUUUAACAUUUUUCUUUUUGUAGUAUUAUGUCACAGAGAAAUUUGUAGCAACCUUUAACACGUGCUCUGCUAUUGUCGCUAACGCAAGUGAUCAAGAGCGUGGUCAAAAGGUCAAGGAAACUGUACGACAAACCAAUUCAAUUAAAUGUGAAUGAUGAACAAGAUCAGAUAUAGUUAAUUUUAUGCAGCUAGGCCAAGAACCCAUAUCGCGAACAUCUAUACAUAUAAAUUAUUGUCAUAAAACAACCAAAAGGAUAUUAUUCAGGAAGACAUAGAAGUUAUUUGAUAGAUAAUAAUAAAGUUGUUACAAUAUUAAUUGUAACUUAUUUAUGAUCCUUUAUAGUUAAGGAGCUCAAAUUAUUAACUGACAACAUACAAUACACAACACACACUACUGUAUCCUGAAGCUUUGACGAAUUGUAAAAACCUCAGGUUGCGUAACCAUAACCAACGUUCCCAGCCAUCUACAAGCUGCAAUUACAUUAGAGAAAACAAUGAAUCAGCAUAUGCUACUUUAUAACAGCCAAAAAUGUGAUGAGUAUAUACAUGUUUAAUUUAAUUAGUUCAGUAUAGAAAUAUAACAAUUUAGCAGCUUCUGGAUAAAGUUUUUGAAAUAUAAAUAAUUAUUCUUGAUAGAUAUGCUCAUAUAUAUACCUGAAAAAUAUGUUGGCAUUUAUGAUAGGUAGGUAAGUUGUGGUCUAUGGCUUGUUGGAGAAAUGGCAACGAUGGGGAAUGGUGAUUGCGACUCUGGGAUCAACACCAACUCUCUUGAAAGCAUCGGAGGAGAAAACAGCAUAGAGGCAAGGGAUGCUUACUUCUACAAGGUCAUUGCAGCACUGUGAAGAAACAGGAGCCCAUGCAUUUCGUGCAGCCUUUUCGCAGUGACGCAGUUUAUGCGUCAAAAUUCUAAGUGUGCUAAACUUGCCGCAUGGACCAUUUUUCUCGUUUUCAUGUUCAGGAUAACUGUGGUCGUAUUCAGCAACGGUCACAGUGAUCAAAAGCAGCAGGAACACACCAACGAACUUGCUCAUCUUAACUAAAUGAAUUUGAUUGAUGAUUUACUCUUUUUAAGUAGCUUCAAGCUUGAAAUACAACUCACAAAAUUUGCUUUGCACCAUGCUCUAUAUAUACUGCUAGAUUAGCAAGAUAAACUAGUAAACUAUGCACAAAACCUUGUUCACAAGCAUCUGGAUUUGGCAUUCUUUAAAUUGAUGGGAGAAGGUAGGGUUACAGCUUCAUGCCCGCAGAUUCUUACCGUAGAGAAGAAAGCAGGCCUGAGAAUAUUUUGAAUCAGGAAGCACUGCACAGCCUUGGUACGUAUUUGGUAUUACAAUAUCUUACUCAACAGCUUGUAUGUCUUACUUAUGGAGGCUUUCUCUUAUAUAUAUAUAUAAAGAAUCGAAAAAUAAAUACUUUUUCAACGAUGCUAUUUUGUGAAACGUCAUGCUAUACUUAGACGGUCCAUGGUUUAUUAAUAAUAUAAAUAAUGAAGGUGGCUCGGAGGUUGUCACAGAAGUCAAACUAGUCUUGAAAACUGAAAGUUUAUCUCAAAUGUGCUUGUUUGUUUAAGGAGGAUGUUUUUCAUAAGAGAAUUUCAUUAUUUAUAAAUUUAAUUCUGAGAUUUAUUUAAAUAAAUUUAUAACAAAUUAUACGAAGGUCACAAUAAAUCAAGAAAAAUAUUUAAUUGUAUGAAUUUAAAUGCAUAAAAAUAUAGACGAAAUCUGAUUGCUUGACCUUUUAAUACCAACACCCUUCUUUGCAUGUUUUGCAUCAAGAAUAAGAAUAAAGGUUUUAUGGCUGUAUAUUUAGAAAACAAGAAUCUAGUGUAGUUUAUGCAAACCAACAAUUGAUAUUACAGCGAAACUAUAUAUAUAUAUAUAGGGGUAACAAUCCCCUCAAUUUACUAAGUUACUUUGCAUAUAUACUUAAAAAUAAAUAUCUGGCCUUAAUUAUUAUUGGACCCUAAUUGUAAAUGACAAAGCCCACACCCCAUAGAACAAACACCCCAUGGAACAAAUUAUCCAUUGCUUUAUUUGUUUUAAUAAUUAUAUAUAUAUAUAUAUAUAUAUAUAUAUAUAUAUAUAUAUAUAUAUAUAUAUAUAUAUAUAUAUAUAACCAAAUAAUUUACUUUUUAAGUCCCUUAUCUUUACAAAAUACAAAUAUAAAAUUCAAGCUCCUUAAUCUUUAAUCUUAAUUUUCACUUUUACACGUUAGUCCUUUCUCUGUCAGUCACCUCUCCUUGUUGAUUCUUGUGCUCCUCAAUCCUCACGAUUGAAUCAAACUCUAUUACGAAUAGGAUUAAAUUAUGCUAUGCUAACUACACUAGCAGGUAUUUCAUAAUUCUUCUCUGUUGUUGUAUUCAUGAUUUGUGGUAUUUAUAAUGAAGUACAAGUCAUGGUUGUUGUUGCCAUUCAUUGGCCAAUUGGUGCAGAAUAUUCUUGAAUAACAGAAAAAAGGAUAAGUAUCCUGGGUGGUUAUACCAAAAUGUGGAUAAGGUGGUGAGAUUGCUUUUCACAAUUGACAAUCUUACCCUGCAUUCCUUUACUCGUAAUCUCUGAGGUAUGUUGGCUUAUUGACUAUCCUCAUGGGCCUACUAUGUGCUGGUAUAGUAUUUCUAUCAUUAUCCAUCGUUGGAAAACCAACCUUUUCCUCAAGGUUGGACAAUUAAAAAAAAUAGAAAUAGGGGUAGGGUUAAAAAAAGCAUGAGUGAAGUUGCUUUGUUUGUGGGAUGGUUUGGGCCCUGACAAUGACAACCCUAAGGGUUAUCAACAUCGUGAAUGGCGAGAAGGUUGGGUGGUGACCUAUAUCACAGAGCAUUGAUCCUACCCUUGUGCCUUUUCUUUGCUUGGUUGUGGCUCUUGGAAGCACUAGUAGCUCUAACUUCUGCUCCAAUGGGUGCAGGCCACGAAGGGAGCUCACCAAAUUGAAGAGAUGAUGCUGUUGUUGCAUGGUCAGAAGAAGAAGAAGCAACAAGAGGGAGUGAAAGUUGUGAACGAUGAACUGUACGGCUAGGACCAUGACAACUGAACACCACUGUCAAUGAAGCGCAGACCUGCGUCAGCCCUGGUGGUGGUGGAAGCAGUGGCUUUGGUGGAGGCUGUGGCUUCAAUGGAACCGUGGUGGUGGUGGAUAUGGUGGUGGGGGUGAUGGUGGCAGAUAUAGUGGUCGUGGAAGUGAGGCAAGGGUUUGGGAAAGGGAGGAGCCAAGGGGCAGAGGACGGUGUUGCGAGACAACAUGCAGGGCAUCACGAAACCCGACGUCAAGAGAAUCAAUGGCAUAUUCUAAGAAAAAACCCGCAAAGUCCUUAAGAACUUUCUAGAGAAUUUUAUUUGCAAUGUUGAUACGUACACCGAGCACAUGUUAGGAGAAAGAUGGUUACCAUUAUGGAUCUUGUUGAUGCUCGCAAGAGGCAGGUCAGGGCUCUCUAUGAUUUUGGUGCUCGUGGUGGUGGGUAUAAUCGUGAUGGAGGAUUGUGGCUUGGGCCAUAAGGCACCCCACAGGGAGUCAUCACCUUCAUCAACGCACGCUCCUCCGCUAAAAUCUGCGACUUCUACAUGGAUAUUUGUGUCCAGUUUCGGGUGUGAGGGAGGAGAUGAUGGAUGAAGAGUUUCCAUGGCACCGCACAAGCCUAACAAGCGGUUCUAAGUACUCACAAAAUAGGGAUUGAACUGGGUGUUCAUAAGAAGGUAGGUGAUGAAAUAGAAGGGAAGAAACCUGUGGGGGGUAGAAUUACUUUUUGUUGUAAGUCCUCUUAACUUUACAAAAUACAAAUAUAAAAUUCAAACUCCUUAAUCUUAAAUCUUAAUUUUCACUUUUACACGCUAGUCCUUACUCUGUUAUUUACCUUUCGUUGUUGCUUCCUUCUUAGAGACCAAACCAUGAACUGACCUGUUUAUGUUUUUUUGGUGAACCUAAACAAGUUUUCCCCAAAUUUUUAAUAUUUAUUUAAGAGAAACAAAAUAAGGAGAUAUAUUAUUUGUGGACCUGAACAAGUUUUCCCCAAAUUUGAGUGAAUGGAGAAGAAAAGUGAAUUCUUUUUAUUUUUUUAGAACAUCAAACAACUCUCUAGAAGAUUAAAAAUAAAUAAAAAUAAUUUAUAUGAAGAAAAAAAAACUAUGGAGUAACAAAAAUUUUAAUUUAAAUUUAAUUUUAAUCAAUAUAAAAAUGAUUUUAGUAUAAUUUAUUUAUUUAUAUAUCUACAUAUUGAAAUAAGAGGAGAGAAUUUUGUUCACUUCGUCCUUCCUUAUUUAUCUCUAUUCAAACAUUAUAUUUUUUUACUCUAUUUUUCUUUUACUUGUAUCUUUUCCAUUUCUUUCUUCUCUUUUUUUUUUCCAUUUUUAAUUGUAAUGGAGCAUUAGGAACAAAACUAUACUUUUGUAUUUUGUGUAAAUUUUAAAAUGGAUUAACAUUUCAGUUUAAUGAUACUGGGGCCAAUUAAUUUAGCAAUUUCCUUUGAAGAAUUCAAGAUUUUGUUAAUUAAGAAUGUUAGACAGAAUACAAAUUAACGUUGUUUUGCAUCAGCUACACGAGAUUUUGUGUUAUUUUUUAUCAUUUAAAUUAGUACAGUAAAACAUUUUUCUUGAUGACUUUCGUAUAAUUUGUUAUUAAUUUAUUUCAAUAAAUCUCAGAAUUAAAUUUAUGAUAAAUUCUCUUAUGAUAAGCAUCCUCCUUAAACUAACACAUUUGAGAUUAACUUUCAGUUUCCAUCACUAGUUUGACUUCUGCAUGUGACAACCUAUCUUAUUAAUAAACCAUAGACCAUGUCCGAAGGCUCUUCGCUAUGCAAAGGUAUGGGGGAGGGAUGUUGUACGCAGCCUUACCUUUGCAUAUGCAAAGAGACUGUUUCCGGAUUCGAACCCAUGACCAACAAGUCACCAAGGCACAACUUUACCGCUGCACCAGGGUUCGCCCUCUCUACAAGUAGAGCAUGACUUGUCAAAAAAUAGUAUCUUUUAUAGUAAUUAUUUAGACAAGUACAAUUAAUAAUUGAUGUCUUUUUAAUCAAGUGAUUUAGAAUUGAAAUCUUGAUUAAUCAUUAAAUAAGUAAUACAUUAUAUUGAGAAAAAAAAAUAUUUUAUAUGUAUUUAUGAUUUCUAAUAAAAAUUAAUCACUGUUUUCGUACCAAAAACUAUUUCGUAUUAAUAUUAUCAUUAGAAAAUAAUAACAUCCUUGAAAAAAAGUACAAAAGUACAGUAUUUGUUUUUCUAUUAUUUAAAUCUGUAAGAAUUUGUAAUACCAACUACGCAUCAAGGUAGGUAGAUCAUCGUGUGCUUCAUCUCUUAGUAAGAAUCUGCGGGCAUGCAUGCAGCUCUAGCCUCGAUCUUUUCUCCCAUGAAACUAAAGAAUGCAAAAUCCAGAUGCUAGCUUGCGAACCAGGUUUAAUUUGGUACACAGUUAUUUAUUUGGCUAGCUAGCUAAUCCUGGCAAUAUAUAUAUAGACCAUAGUGCUAGCCAAUUUAAAUUUGUGAGUUGCAUUCGAAGCUUGAAACUAGCUAGCUACUUAAAAAGAGUAAAUCAUCAAUCAAAUUCAUUUAGUUAAGAUGGGCAAGUUUGUUGGGUUGUUCCUGCUGGUUUUGGUCAGUGUGGCCGUUGCUGAAUACGACAACGGUUAUCCUGAACAUGAAAACGAGAAAAAUGGCCCAUGCGGCAAGUUUAGCACACUUAGAAUUUUGACGCAUAAACUGCGUCACUGCGAAAAGGCUGCACGAGAUGCGUGGGCUCCUGUUUCUUCACAGUGCUGCAAUGACCUUGUAGAAGUAAGCAUCCCUUGCCUCUAUGCUGUUUUCUCCUCUGAUGCUUUCAAGAGAGUUGGUGUUGAUCCCAGAGUCGCAAUCACUAUUCCCCAUCGUUGCCAUUUCGCCAACAAGCCAUAGACCACAACUUACCUACCUAUCAUAAAUGA